rnacentral:rRNA from 1 species
GACGAACGCUGGCGGCGUGCUUAACACAUGCAAGUCGAGCGGUAAGGCCCUUUCGGGGGUACACGAGCGGCGAACGGGUGAGUAACACGUGGGUGACCUGCCCUCAGCUCUGGGAUAAGCCUGGGAAACCGGGUCUAAUACCGGAUAUGACUCCAUGACGCAUGUUGUGGGGUGGAAAGCCUUGUGCGGCUGAGGAUGGGCCCGCGGCCUAUCAGCUUGUUGGUGGGGUGAUGGCCUACCAAGGCGACGACGGGUAGCCGGCCUGAGAGGGCGACCGGCCACACUGGGACUGAGACACGGCCCAGACUCCUACGGGAGGCAGCAGUGGGGAAUCUUGCGCAAUGGGCGAAAGCCUGACGCAGCGACGCCGCGUGGGA